CGCGAGCCCCGGCCCCUCGUGAGCCCCGCCCUCAUCCCGCCCCCGCAGCCUCGCGGGAGUUAGCGGAGCCCCCGGGGCAUCCCCGGAGAGGGCGAGCCCGGGAGGCUCCCGGGGGGCGGCGGCCGGUCCCAAGCCCGCGGCCGCGAGGGGAAGGCCCCUGCUGGCGGGCGGGGUCCUGGCGCUCCCUUGCGGACUGACCCGGUUCCUCGAGAAGGUAACGACAGCGUCUCCGGUGUCCGCUCCUCGGGCCGGGGCCGCCUCCCCCGCGGGGGCCGCCUCCCCCGCGGGGGCCGCCUGGGGGCGCUGGUUCCGAAGCCCGCCGGGCCGCGGAGCGCCUUCGCCAGGCCCCGGGGUGCAGCAGCCGCGCCGCGAAGCCCGCCCCCCCCGCGAGUGUGCUCGGUGACCUACGCGGGAAGAUCGCUGCCUUCUCUCUGCCGAGGACCGUGUCUGUGGCCGCUCACCCAGCCCGCCCUCUUCGGCCCGCUGGGACUGACAGGUCCCUGAGGUCUCCAAAACUACGAGAUCGAAGAGGAGGAAGAGUCUGCAUUCUCUACAUUUGCCUUUGGAGAAUGCAGGAAUCAGAGAUUUGGCCCCUGCGACUGAUUUUAAGUGUCCCUCCGAGUGUCCCGGGGUGCAGCUUUGUGGAGACUCCGGAGGAAGACUCUGGUCUUGGGAUUGGGGUCCCACAGCGUGGGUGAGAGAGGGGUUUGCUUUUUUGGUUUUGGUUUUCCUCUUCGGAGCUAGGCGAGGAAUCGCAUCUAGUGAGGGUCUGCCGCAGAAGCAAAUCUCAGCCAAUGUUGAGAGCAAAGAUUUCAAAAAGCUGAAAGUACUGAUGUUCAUUCAGCCCAAAGAAGCCAAGAAAAAUCUCAGAGAGACUCAACUAUAUCUAAAGAAGAAUAGGUCAUUUCGUAGUUUGCAAAAUGAAGUGCAGCUCCAACUUUGCCAGACAACAUUCUAUCAAGAAUUUGAAGUUGAAAGUAUGGUUCUAAGAUAAGGACAUGUACCAAAGGAAUGCUGCUUGAUUUUUGCUGGACACUUAAAGGUCAUGUCAAGUAAUACAAGCAGGAACAAAAAUACCAACUCUGAAAUUUUAAGUGACUUUGAAGAAGGUGACAUUAUAAAGUAAAUAUUGUCUGAGUUUCUCCGUC
rnacentral:lncRNA from 12 species